CGCGUGGGAAUCUACCGAGUAGUGGGGGACAACAGUUGGAAACGGCUGCUAAUACCGCAUACGUCUUACGGGAGAAAGAGGGGGAUCUUCGGACCUCUCGCUAUUUGAUGAGCCCGCGUUGGAUUAGCUAGAUGGUGGGGUAAAGGCCUACCAUGGUGACGAUCCAUAGCUGGUCUGAGAGGACGAUCAGCCACACUGGGACUGAGACACGGCCCAGACUCCUACGGGAGGCAGCAGUGGGGAAUAUUGCACAAUGGGCGCAAGCCUGAUGCAGCCAUGCCGCGUGUGUGAAGAAGGCCU
rnacentral:rRNA from 1 species